UACGAAGGGGGCUAGCGUUGUUCGGAGUUACUGGGCGUAAAGGGCGCGUAGGCGGCUGUCCAAGUCAGGUGUGAAAGCCCGGGGCUCAACCCCGGAAAUGCACUUGAGACUGGGCGGCUUGAGGACGGGAGAGGAUAGUGGAAUUCCCAGUGUAGAGGUGAAAUUCGUAGAUAUUGGGAAGAACACCGGUGGCGAAGGCGGCUAUCUGGACCGUUUCUGACGCUGAGGCGCGAAAGCGUGGGGAGCAAACAGG
rnacentral:rRNA from 1 species